rnacentral:rRNA from 1 species
AUUGAACGCUGGCGGCAUGCUUUACACAUGCAAGUCGAACGGUAACAGGCCGCAAGGUGCUGACGAGUGGCGAACGGGUGAGUAAUGCAUCGGAACGUGCCCAGUCGCGGGGGAUAACGCAGCGAAAGCUGCGCUAAUACCGCAUACGAUCUAUGGAUGAAAGCGGGGGACCGUAAGGCCUCGCGCGAUUGGAGCGGCCGAUGUCAGAUCAGGUCGUUGGUGGGGUAAAGGCUCACCAAGCCAACGACCUGUAGCUGGUCUGAGAGGACGACCAGCGACGCUGGGACGGUGAAACGGCCGAGACUCCUACGGGAGGCAGCAGUGGGGACUCUGGGACAGGGGGCGCAAGCCUGAUCCAGCCAUGCCGCGUGAGUGAAGAAGGCCUGCGGGUUGUAAAGCUCUUUUGUCAGGGACGAAACGGCCCUGUCUAAUACAGGGGGCUAAUGACGGUACCGUAAGAAUAAGCCCCGGCUAACUACGUGCCAGCCGCCGCCGUAAGAC